GUGCUGUAGACAAGGCCUUACAGAGUCUAAACGGACACCUGGAUUUAUUUCUACGUUUCCUCUUGGGUCUUUCUCUGCAAACCAAUCAGAAUCUCCUGAGAGGUCUGCUGGCACACACAGGAAGUAGCUCACAGACCAAUCAGAAAACAGUCCAGUACAUCAAGAUGAAGAUCAGUGAGGAUCUGUCUGCAGAGAAAAGCAUCAAUCUGUUCCACUGUCUGAAUGAACUGAACGAUAGUUCUCUAGUGGAGGAGAUCCAACAGUCCCUGAGAUCAGGACGUCUCUCCACAAAAGAACUGUCUCCGGCUCAGUGGUCAGCUCUGGUCUUCAUCUUACUGUCAUCAGAAAAAGAUCUGGACAUGUUUGACCUGAAGAAAUACUCUGCUUCAGAGGAGGGUCUUCUGAGGAUGCUACCAGUGGUCAAAGCCUCUAACAAAGUUCUGUGAGUGGACACAUGAGAGAUUCAAACAUUAUUGCUCAUGAGAGAUGAAACAUUGUGUUUGUGCUGAUCACUGAUUCUUCUUCAGGUUGACUGGGUGUGACCUGUCAAAGAGAGGCUGUGAGGCUCUGUCCUCAGUCCUCAGCUCCCAGUCUUCCAGUCUGAGAGAGCUGGACCUGAGUAACAAUGACCUGCAGGAUUCAGGAAUGAAGCUGCUGUCUGCUGGAUUGAAGAGUCUUCACUGUAAACUGUAAACUCUCAGGUGGGGGUUUCUUCUGAUCUAUAACUGUUUGAAUAAAACUUUUGAAAACUUGUACACUUUUCCUUGUUUCAUAUGUUUUUCUGACUUCAGGUUAUCAGGCUGUCUGAUCACAGAAGAAGGUUGUGCUUCUCUGGCCUCAGCUCUGAGCUCCAACCCCUCACACCUGAGAGAGCUGGACCUGAGCUACAAUCAUCCAGGAGACUCAGGUGUAAAACUACUUUCUGCUGGACUGAAGGAUCCUCUAUGGAGACUGGAUACACUGAGGUAUAACCAGACAGUUACUGAGUCACAGACAACUACAAAUAUAAAGGGUUGCACGAAGCAAUCUAACAAUUAUUUUUUCGACAAAUCUUCCCGUUAAUUUAUCAAUUAUUCUAACAAUAAUUUUAUUACCCGAUCAAUAUAACAAUGAAUUUAACCAAAAUAAAAAUUGAUAACUUGUCUAAGUAGUAUUCACUUCAAUGAUUUAUUGAAUCAUCUCAAACAAAAUAAACAAAAUAAUUAAUUGAAUUAAUUGACCCCGACAGACCAAAGGGGCGCAGGGACAGCGCCCCCAGCAGCAGCCCAGACACAACUCCCAGUGUGGAGGACCCCCUAAGGAAACUCCGGAGUUAAAGCUGAAAACUAAAAGAAUAAGAUAGGAUAAAAACCCUGAAAAAAAAGUUAAUACAGGGAACAGUUUAAAAGGACAUAAGACUCAUAAGAUAAUAAAUAAAAUGUAACCAAUGAUAAGUAAAACAAAUAAAAUUAUAUAAGGUUAACAUCUUAAAAGAUACACGCAACAACAUAAAAUAUGAUAGAACCACAUAAGAAAAAAUUAAAAUACUAGUUAAAAGCCUGAUUUAAAAGGUAGGUCUUCAACCUUCCCUUAAAAAUAUUAACAGUCCUGAGUCCUGAGACUAGAGAGACAUAGUAGAAGGUUUUAAUGACUUCUUUAUUAACGUCAGCGCUUCCUUGGCUUCUAGCAUGAAAGACUCAGAUAUAAAUCCUGCACGUUUCAUUAACGGCACAUUUUCAACACUCUCUGGUUUUGAUCCUCCCAGUUUAGAAGAGGUCCAUGACAUUGUUAGGAAUUUAUUUAAAAGCAGUCUUGUCAAAGAAACUAUAGAUUACAUCAUUCACCCCCUGACCCACAUUCUCUCUUUAUCCCUUCUGUCUGGUAUUGUCCCUCGAGAUUUUAAAAUUGCCAAAGUUAUACCGAUAUUUAAAUCAGGUAAUACAAAAGAAUUUGGUAACAAUCGCCCAAUAUUUAUACUACCCUGUUUGUCAAAGAUCUCUGAAAAAUUAGUCUAUAUGAGAAUCUCCAACCACUUGACUGUUAAUAAUAUUUUGUAUAAUCAUCAAUAAAGGUUCUGCAAGAAAUACUCAACUUAGCAUGCAUUGCUGCAACUUGCUAGUACCAUUUCUUCUGCUUUAAAUGGGAAAAAAAUUGCCCUCUGUGUCUUUCUUGAUUUGAGCAAAGCUUUUGAGAUUGUCGAUCAUAAAAUCCUCAUCUCAAAGCUUUAUAGAUAUGGAAUCCAGAAUGUUGCCCUUAACUGGCUGAUCAGUUAUCUAGACGAUAGAGAGCAGUUUGUUCACCUAAAUGGUGCUUCAUCCACUAAAUCCAGUAUUCUCUUUGGGGUCCCCCAGGGAUCAACCCUGGGCCCUUUAUUAUUCUUGAUUUAUAUCAAUGACUUGCCUACGUCUUGUGAUAGCCUUCUCCCCUUGUUAUUUGUGGAUGACACCAGUUUCAUAGAUGUUCAUGCUGACUUCGAGACUCUCAUUGCUCGUGUUAAUGAUGAAUUGUCUUCUGUGGCUAACUGGUUUCUGACUAAUAAGCAAUCUCUUAAAAUAAAAAAUGUAACUUCAAGAUCUUCUGCAACAAAAACAAAUCUUAUGCAAAAGAAGAAGCCAAAAUAUCAAUUAAUGGUACUAAAAUCUACACCACUUUUUUGGGUGUUGUCCUUGAUGAGGGUCUUAAGUAGAACAAUCAUAUCAGUCAAGUUUGCGAAAGGUCAAUGAAAAGCCUAGGUAUAAUUAAUAAGGUAUGUCCCUUGAUCAAUCCCUCUGCUCACUUGUCUUUGUAUUAUAGCUUUUUAUUUCCUUAUAUGAUGUAUUGUAGAUUGUAUGGUGUGCAACAUAUCCAACUUACCUCAAGAAAAUAUUAUUUAUCCAGAAAAGAUUCUUAAGAAUGAUAUCUCGAUCCAGCAGACAUGAACCUUCUGCACCUCUCUUUACUAAAUACUCAGGGCUCUAUUUUCGUUCGCGCCGGUGAGGCGGCGGAGGGCGGCGAGCCCCGCGCAGUUGUAUUUUCGUCUGGCGGAGCCCGGUGUAAGGCGAGUUUGGUAUUUUCGUGGACUGAGUCGCACGGAGGCGAGCCGAGAUCCGCCAAGCUGGGCGUGGUGGCGUGGCAGGGGGAGGUGUUGACAGAAUCAGCUGGCGCAGUGACAUUUUCGUGCUCGCCACUGGCGUGUAACGUGCGCUGAAAGCUCGCCGAUUCAAACCUGGUCAGCUUUCAGCGCAAGGCGGAACGCAGCUGGUCCAGUAGUAUUUUGGUAGACCGGCGGCGUAUCGACAUACGUCACUGAUGCCUCACCGGCAGGUUUCCACAGUGUCAGGCAGAUUUCAGUGCAAUAAAUAAUGAUCAACAACUAUUAAUCUGAGUCAGCACAUACAUUUAGAUCUAUAUCGAUAUAUUCUGAUCUAUAUAUGAUCUGAUGAGCGCGUUUGGCACGCGUUUGGACACACAACCUGACCGAAUCAAUACAGCUGAAACUGCAUCAAAUUAAAUUAAAUAUCUAGUAAAUAAACACACAUGAUGAAGUUAACAAGAUAUGUAAUGUGUCUCCCUCCUUUUCUUUCUUCCUCUUAUUUCUCGCACAGCUCGACCUGGACACGUCUCCGUGUCCUCUGUCCGUCUUCCUGCUGCUGCUGCGGCUGAACAGAUGAUUUGUUUCAGUGCUCAGAUGCGUUAUCUACUUUAAGCCGACAUACGGAUAUUAUAAUAUUCAGUUUUGUGAGCCAAAUUUAUUUUAUAUGCCAACAUCUAUGAAAGAAAGAGCCAGGCCACGGAGCGCGAUGCGUCAUUUACGCACAGAUGGUUCCGAUUUUAAUGCCUUUUUGGAGUUUUUGUUGUGAUCUGUGCGCUCAACCCACCUUUGUCACGUGAGGUUUGAAUAUAUGCAACUUUAUGUGAGUGUCUUUAUUUGUGGAAAAGGGUGUUUGUCUUACCAGUGGGUCCAACAUUACGCACACCAAAUCCAUCUGUGCUCAGAUGAGAGAGUGUGGAGGACACUUGUUGAGCAGCUGCCCUCUGUCGCCAUCGUGUGGCAUAACUGUCUUCAGACAUCUCUUGAUCUCUUUGACUACUUCAUGAAAAUAGUAAUACGCCUCGCCUGUGGCGGAUUUAAAGGCGAGGAGAGGAGCUAAUGUGAUUGGUGAAAACAGGUCUCGGCUGUGUUAAACCCCCUCUCCUCCCCGUCAAUGAUUUAUGCUGCCGGGAGGAGCUGAGUUAGGGAGGGGGGAUACUUACGCCGGGCUGCGCGGCUCACCAAAAUACCAAAAUGUGCUUGGGAACGCCUUGUCAGCGCGGCGGAUCUGAUUGACUCUGCGCUUGCGGCACGUCUCCGGCCAGGCACCAAAAUAGAGCCCUCAGUCUUACCGAUUGACAAACUCAAUGUCUUUCACUCUUGCUUGUUUGUCCAUAAGUUCAUCAAUAGGAAACAAGCCCUUCCUGACUCCUUCCAAAACUUUCCAAAUGGCUUUCUUCAGUUACCUUUCUGUUAAACUUCUUGUCAGCAGUUUAAUAUCACAUUUAGAGGACCGAAACUAUGGAAUGAAUUGGAUGUAUCUCUAAAAUCAAUAUUAUCCUUCAAAUCCUUUAAAUUAUCAUUGAAAUCUCAUCUAAUCAUGUCUUAAACACGUCAUUAUCUGUCACGUCCAUGUUUCUUCUCUUUUUAUGUAUACUUGUAUUUUCUCUAUCUCUGGUUGGGCUGGUUGAUGUUUAGUCUAUGUUCUAUUUAUGCCAAUUUUGUACAUGUUUUGUCCUUUCCCUACUCAUUGUAUAUUUAUAGCCUGUCUAUGUCCUAAUUACUUUGUUGUUUGCACCCUAUGCCUUCACUGCCCUGAUGGGAGUGGGACUCUGUAUAAGCCUAUUGGCUUCAUUCCCUCCUUGCACUGUUUUUAAUCUGUGCUAAUUAAACAAAUAGAAAUAGAAAUAGAGUUGAUCUGUGGAGAUGCUUUUUUAGACAAUUCAGGCACACCUGAACAAAAGGGUGAGCAGAAAACCUUUUUACAUUGUUAUGUUUCUCACUUACAUUAACAGCAAUAAAUAAUUAGCUGAACCACAAGAUACAGUUUCAGGACUUUACUGUUCAAGUGCAAAUUCAGUUAACAGGUAUCAAUGUGCUGACACAUCACUCAACCAAACAGGUACACUGACAACUGUGCUAGCCAACAAAAUGUAGUGCCUUCCCAAAGUGUACAAAUACUGUGUUAUUUCCUCAAAUACAUAACAAUUCAUCCCUUUCAGCUUUGAUGUACUCUAACCCAACACCAACAAUUACAAUACGUUUUUUUUUUUUUUUUUUUGCUAACUAUGACUUAAAUCAAAAUAAGGCACCAUUACCAUUAUGAUAGGUGGUAUAAAAUUCAAACAUAAACCAUUUUCUAAACCAACACUUUUCCUUUUAAGUAAACAUCAGUUCACUUGUCUCUGCUGGAGUUGCCUAUAAAUCAAGCCUCUGAGGCGGUCUUUGGUUUCUUUCUGGGUUCUGGUGUGCAGAUGAUCCAUGCUCAGUUAUGCUUUGAUGAGUAGAGUCCACAGUUUCUGGAGCCUGAGUGUCACUGGUGUCUGUGAUAGUAUCUCACCAGACUGCCAUUUCUUGGUAGGAGUGCGAUAGUCUCUGGCAAGGACUCUCUGUCCAAUGUCAAAGGCUCUCAGCUUCCUCUGUACCUGACUGGGAGAACACUGUUUCUUCUGAACAUGUUUGCGAAUGUCCAGUUUAAGUAAAUCCAAGUGUGACCUCAGACUCCUUCCCAUAAACAGCAUCGCAGGUGUCUGUCCUGUUGUGCCUGUAUGCCAGAAGGAAAUUAGCUACCUUCUGUUGUAACGACACUCCCUCCUUCCUGCUUGCUUUCAUGGACUAUUUGAAUGUUUGAACAAAGCGUUCUGCUAGUCCAUUAGUAGCAGGGUGAUGUGGCGUCGUUGUGAUGUGUUUUAUGCCAUUGCUCUUGAGAAAACACUGAAACUUGUCCCCUGUGAAUUGACUGCUGAUCUCGUCGAGUAGAGUACUCUGGGAACUGGGUGUCUCCAUGUAAUGGCCAUCCGUGCACUGUCAAGUCAUAGGCCAGGACAGGGUCAUUUCUUGUCUCUUUUUGGACCUGUGCGCUGGUGACAGGAAGAGGUUCCAUCUGUGACAUGUGAAGCACUACAGCUGGGUCAAUGGCUUUUUCAGAUUUUGCUUGUGGAAGGCGAGAUAACCCAUCUGCAUUUUCAUGCAGCUUUGUACCUUUAUAUUUUAUCAUGUAUGUGUGUGCUACUAGAAACAGAGCCCACCGCUGUAGGCGUGCAGCUGCCAUGGCCGGAACACCUUUCUGGGGACUAAAGAUGUAUACCAGGGGCUGAUGAUCAGUUAUCAGUAUAAAGUGUCUUCCAUAGAGGUACUGGUUAAACUUUUUCAUACACCACACCACAUGCAUUUAAAGGGGGUCUUGGUUUUCCUAGACGACCUGAUCGUCUUUUCAAAGACCUUGGAGGAGCAUGAAGAUGACUCAUGGAGGUUCUUGGAUGUCUCAAGGAAUUUGGUCUAAACCUGUCACCUGAUAAGUGUUCCUUCUUCCGGACAUCAGUCUGGUACCUUAGACAUGUUGUGUCCAGGAACAGGGUUGAGACUGACCCAGAGAAAAUCACUUCUCUUAAAACUUGGCCAGUCCCCAAGAACAUGCAAGAACUGAGAUCAUUCUUGGGAUUUGCAGGGUACUACAUAAGGUUCGUGCAGGGAUACAGCACAGCCUGACUUCUGGGUACCCACCUCCACACAAGAAAUGCAACUUGAGACCAUCAGCUGAUCAGCCUUACCAUGACCCAAAGGAAGCCUUUGGAGGUUGUUGGACACCUGCUUUUCAGCAAGCAUUCGAGCAGGUCAUUGAAGCACUUACCACUGCUCCUGUAUUGGGCUUUGCCGAUCCUCAAAAGCCGUAUGUGCUACACACUGAUGCCAGCACCAGUGGAACAAGAAGGUCAGCUCUGAGUCAUAGCUCAUGCGAGCAGGGAGCCAUCACGGAGUGGUCAGUCGCUGAAAAAUUCUGUGACUACCUUUAUGGCAAUCACUUCACCAUGGUUACUGACAGUAACCCAUUGACGUACAUUUUAACCACUGUGAAACUCUAUGCAAAGAGUUAUAGACGGCUUGCAGCAUUGUCUACCUUUUCAUUCAACCUUGUGUACAGACCGGGAAAACAAAACUCAGAUGCCGACUGUCACGCAGACCCCAUGGUGAACUGUUGGACGAUUCCAAGUCGCAGAAGGAGAGGGAGCGAAUUUGUCAGUUCACUCGCGACCAUCUCUCUGACCCUGGCAAUAUCAAUGCUGUUGACCGAGCUGUUGUGCAAGCUACUUGUGAGGAACAGUUUGUCUUCAGUGACAACCUUGAUGCCCACAGUGGUGCCACUUUGGCUGAAAACCCACCUCCACGAGAGCUGUACCUGAUAGCUAUGGGAAAGAGGAUCAGCUUGGUGGGUUGCCAUUCAUCCCUUACUUAACUGAGGUCGAGUUAGCAAACAAACAAAGGGCAGAUCAGUGUUUGAGACAUGUCAUUCACCAACUUGAAUGCGGGGAGAAGCCACCUCUCACACUACAGAGUGAACUUCCAGAGCUCCCACUCUUGUUGAGAGACCUACAGCAUCUUGAGCACCGCAAUUAUGUGCUUUACUGAAGACAGCAAGUUGGCUCUCAAACUUCUUAUCAGCUGGUUUUGCCAGCUGAGCUCAGUGAUAUGGUCUUGAUGAGUUUACAUGAUCACAUGGGGCACAUGGGUGCAGAUCAUACCUUAGAUCUUGUCAGAACAAGGUUCUUUUGGCCUAAAAUGGCUGUAGAUGUUGGAAACAAGGUGAAAACUCAUGGCACAUACAUAAGGUGAGGACUCCAUACCACCCUCGUGGUAACCAUGUCGAACGGUUCAACCACACACAGGAUUAUGGAGGCGGUGAACAGCGCUGCUGCGGAAUAGUGGACAGUGGCUGAAGUUUGAAUAAAUCAUUGGUCAAUAAGUUGAUCAUGAUGAUAAAUCAAUAUCUCAUACAUGCCUCAUAUUUGUUUAUUGCCAUGACAUAUAGUACGUUGCUCCUAUUAUUGAAAGUAUUUAGUUUUAAUUUGUUGCGUUUUUGUAAUGUAGAGCAGACUGGAGAGUCUGAACAAAAAUAAUUGUUAACCUCACCCAACGGUGUGUUGCUACCCCUGAGGCACAUUUUUAUUUCUAAUGGAUUUUUAUCACUGAUUAAAUAGCAAGAGCACUUUCUAAACUUAUACUUUACAUGUCAGAAUCAAUCGAUAAGGUCCUGUCCCCUCUGUACAGCACCUUUGUGGAGUCUUUCCGCGUUAUUAUUCUCCGGGCAUCGGGUCCUCACGUUGCAUCGGCACAGCCAACGGCACUCCAUUCGCCAGUACAACAUUGUGCAAAACUGAACUGGCCCAAAUGAUGUCCCACACUCUUUCAGGAGUGUACAACAAAGUCCUAGCUGCUGGGCCAAGACACAGCUACCUGCCUUUUAGGAGUCAUUUGAGACAGAUAUUUGCUGCAUCGCAGAUCUACACUGACUCAAACUUGCGUACACGAUGUCAGACCUGUCGUGAGAUUUGGUCGUAGCGUACGCUCAUGUGCAGAUUGAUAAAUGCCGAUCCUCAUGUCAAAAUUGUCCUACGCAAGGUGUACGCAAGUUUUCUGCCGUACGCAAGCUUGAUAAAUGAGGGCCAAGGAAACAGCCCUGGAUCAUGACACUCUCUUUCCACUGAGAUUAAUUUAUUUUGUGGGUUUGUUUUCUCCAAUUAGAUAUUUGUCAUUCAGAUGAUCAAAUAUACCCUAUCUUGUCUCAACAUUCAUCCAAUAUUUUUUUAGAAGAGAAAUGUUGAAAAAUAGCCCAAUCUAAAAUAUAAUGUAACUUAAAUUAUGAUGGUGAGUGUUGAAAGCCCAUUUGAGUUGUCAUUUUUUACAUUUUUAUCAAAUUAAUGACAACAGGAUUGAUGUUAUGGUAACAGGGCUGACAAGAGUAAAAGUAACUGGACACAAAGUAACUGGCUCUCCACUGGCAUAUCAAUCAAUCAAUCAAAAAAUAAUUAUUAGCUCAAUAAUGUUCACUUGAUGACCUAAAAAUGGGUAAAAACUGGGGUUAACUGUGCUGUAAAGAGAGAGAGAGAGAGCAGUGGGUCAUGAUGUUUCUGAUUAACCGCAAUGCAGGUGCAUACAGCACUCUGGGAGAGAGGUGAAUGAGAGGAGAGAUCUCAUCGUCCGGCUGCGUGAGGAGUGCUGUGCCCGAGAAAAUAUCCAGAAGUUAUUAAAAUAGAGAGAAAGUGUCGAAAUUCACCACGAGCUGACUCUACAGAGUCCCGGUGGAUGUUGCCAUCUCAGCAGUUUUUCAUUGAGGAUGAGAUUCAGUGGAACUUGAUGUUGAGGAAGACAUCUGUGCUGUUCUUGGAGUGGCUUCACCCAGCGAGGAGGCAGAGUCUGUCCAUUCUAUAUACAGUCUAUGGGUCAGACAGAGAUGCUCAAGCUAGUGGCAAGAAGAAAGGAGGAGGUCUGGCUUUAUUUGUCAACCAGAGAUGCUGUAACCCUUCACACAUAACUGUCAAGGAGAAGUUGUGUUGUCCAGAUAUUGAACUGUUGGCAGUUGGUCAUCGGCCAUAUUAUGUUUCAAGAGAAUUUAGUCAUAUCAUAACAGUAGUUGUUUACAUUCCACCCAAAUCAACAGAAGAAAUUCUGUGCGAUGUUUUGCCAAAAUAGUGUUGCCAGGCUACAGACUCAACACCCUAAGGCACUAAUAAUAAUAUCAGGAGACUUCAACCAUGUCACCCUCUCCUCUCACCUAACUGGAUUCACAUGGUUUGUGAAUUGUCCUACCAGAGAAAACAAAACCCUGGAUCUGCUGUAUGCCAACGUCAAAGAAGCCUACAGAGCCACUGCCUUACCACCACUGGGCAAGUCGGAUCACAACUUGGUCUAUCUGCAAACCUGUUACAGACCUUGUGUACUUGGCAGCCUGUGACCAAAGUCAAAAUCAGUAGAUGGACACCUCAAGCCAGAGAAGCUCUAAGAGACUGUUUUAAAUCAACAGACUGGAAUGUGCUGCUGGAAACAGAUGAGGAUAGUAUGAACAUUGAUAAACAGGUUGACUGCUUUACUGAAUAUGUCAACUUCUGUAGAGACACAGUUAUACCCACAGAAACUGUUCACUGUUCCCCAACAACAAACCCUGGAUCACAAGAGACAUAAAAGCAAUCCUUAACCAGAAAAAGGAAAGCUUUUAAAGAUGGUGACAAAGAAUGACUCAAACAAGUGCAACAAGAGUUGAAGAGGAGACUGAAGAUGGCAAAGCUGUAGUACAAAAAGAAGAUAGAAAAGAAUCUACAACACAGCAACAUCCGUGAAGUGUGGAGAGGAAUCAGUACCAUCUCUGUACACAGCAAUAGAAAGAAAAGACAACCAGUGGUGGGUGAUGUGGAAAGAGCUGAUGAACUCAACCUGUUCUUCAACAGAUUUGACACUGCUGUCACACCCACUCCCACUGCUACUCCACCUCCCUCUCCGCAACAAAUCUCCACUACAACUUCUCCCGUUCCUCCUCCAUCUUGUUCAAAUGUCUCAACCACUUCAACUGACUCCUUCCGAGAACAUCAGUCCUUGUCUGUCAUCGAAACAGGGGUGUGGAUGGAGCUUGGAAGACUUUGUCCUGGGAAGGCAGCUGGCCCAGAUGGUGUGUGUCCAAGGCUGCAUCAAGACUGUGCUGCAGAACUGUGUCAACCUCUCCACAGGAUCUUCUACCUGAGUCUACAGCUGGGGCGGGUACCUGCUCUGUGGAAAACAUCCUGCAUUGUGCCAGUACCAAAAACAAAAUGUCCUGCUGAACUCAAUGACUACAGACAAGUGGCCCUCAUCAUGAAAACCCUUCUGAGGUCUGAGUUCAAAGACAAACUGGAUUCCCUGAAGUUUGCAUACAAAGAACACAUUGGAGUGGAUGACGCUGUCCUCUACACGCUUCACCGUGCCCUGUCUCAUCUGGAGGAACCUGGGGUUUAUGUGAGGAUCAUGUUCUUCGACUUUUCAAGUGCACUCAACACCAUCCAACCCACCAUACUCAAAGACAAGCUCACAGAGAUGGUAGUGGAUCCUUCCUGUGUUUCCUGGAUCACAGAUUAUCUGACAGGAAGGCCACAGUUUGUCAGGCUGGGGAACUGUGUUUCUGGGACAUUAAUGAGCAGCACAGGGGCUCCACAAGGGACAGUCCUGGCUCCAAGCCUGUUCACACUGUAUACAUCAGACUUCAAAUACAGCACUGAGUCCUGCCACAUUCAGAAAUACUCAGAUGACACUGCUAUCGUGGCAUGUAUCAGAAAUGGACAAGAAGCUGAAUACAGAGAUCUGAUAAGAGUCUUCAAUGACUGGAGUCACAAAAACUGCCUCCUCCUCAACACCUCAAAGACAAAGGAGAUGGUCAUAGACUUCCGUAGAUCCAAACCCCCUCUUCAGCCACUGAACACUAGCCUGGCUGGGCCAUCCAGUUGCGUAACCAAUCACCGUAACCAAACAUCUGAUGUCAUCACAGUAUGCAACUGUGUUCCCUGCUGGGCUCUCAAGCAUCAAGUAAAGGUUUGGUUAUAUUUAACGUGUGCGAGCAAACAAUGUCUUUUAUGUCUUCUUCUGCGGAUGUAAAGGAUUUCUGCCAACUUUGCAAAGUCCACUGCAGAAUUAACGGCAUUCUGAAAGCACAGCGCUUUGAAAAGUCCCGCAGCACGUGUUAGACGUCACCAUCUACACAUGGACCAAUCAGGGGCUGCCUUUCCCUGUUGUCCGGGGAACAGUGGAAACACAGUCACUGAUUGGCCCGGUUAUUUUCUGAUUUCUAAUACACACUCCCAAUUGGCCGAAGUCCAGACUGUUGUGGGAAGUAACGGCAAGUGAUUCACGCAACUGGAUGUCCCAGCCAGGCUAAGUGAACACCUGUGGAGUGGACAUCGAAGUGGUGACAUCAUAUCAAUACAUCUGGUGUACAUCUGGAUAAUAAGUUGGACUGGUCUAAGAAUAUAGACUUCAUCUACAGAAAGGGGCAGAGCUGCCUCUCCUGCCUGAGAAGACUCCGAUCAAUAGACAUCUGUAGUAAGACGCUGCAAAUGUUUUAUCAGUCUGUGGUGGAAAGUGUUCUGUUCUACGCUGCAGUCUGCAGGGAAGGAAGCAUCAAACACAAAGAUGCAAGAUGUCUGAACAAACUGGUGAGAAAGGCUGACUCUGUGGUAGGACUCAAGCUGGACUCACUGGAGGAUGUGGUGGAGAGAUGCACACAGAGGAAGGUGGAGACUAUUCUAAAGAACAUGGAUCACCCACCUCACAACACCUUAAUGGACCAAAGGGCCAAUGGUGUUGGACAGUUCCUCUCUCUUCGCUGUGAGAUAUUAAAACAUGUUUAGGGUGUUGAUAAUGCUGAUGCUAAUGUUGGGACAAAAAUUAAAAGAGGACUUAGAUGCCAGCUUGCUGCCGCAGUUGCCACUAUCUUCAGCUAGCGCUUCCGCUUCAAGUGCUCCAGCAUCAAGUGCUCCAGCAUAGCACUUGCAUAUACCACAACAUUAUGAGGUCUGUGACUGAAGUAUUCUCACACUUUGAUAAGCAUUGGUGGGGUCUUUUAGUUGGUUCUUGUUCAUUGUCCAUGCCUCCACCAGUAACUGUUGUAGUCAUGGCAUAUGUAAUUAUCAUGCUUCAUGUCAACAUUUGUUUUUGCUUCAACAUAAUUGCGUUGUCUGUUAUGUCAACUAUGACGAAUUGCCGCAGCCCUUUCUUUGGUCAGGCUAUGAUGCCAGCAGGGUAUCUGAUCACUGGCAGAGCGUAGUUGUUGAUGGCUUGGAUCUUGCUCCAGCUGACAUACACUUUGCUGUAAUGCAUGUUGAGGUGAACAUUAAUUAAAAAAACCCUCAAACAGUUCAUGAGAAAUUACUUUGGAUCAGACUGAUGUGUGUCUGUUAUUCUGUUUCCUCCUCCACACAAUUUGUCUGCAACACUGGGCACCUGGAUAAGCAUCUUCUCUUGGAAAUCUUUUGAAUAUGAAGAACCAUCUUAACUGCUCUUAAUGCAGGACCACAGGGGUCGCAGAAAUUGAAAUAAAGCAUUUUUAUUAAGAAAAAAAAAAGUUAUCGAACUGUUAAAAUAGGAAUUCAUAAACUGGUGUUUAAAUUCAUGAGUUCAUCCAUGAACAAAUAGAGGAAAUAUAACAAGAUUCUACAAAUAAAUCUUUAGAACUGUACAAAAGUCUAUCAUUUAAAAAUACAUGACUGCAUUAUUUAUUUAAAUAGAUUAAAACACAGUUUGAACACACAGUUUUUAAAAAGAAAAAUAAAGAAGUGAAUUGUCAAACUAAAGUAAGAAUACAGUUUUUAAUCAGCCAUUUAAAGGAUGUUUCCCUUUUUUCAUUUCCAUUUCCUGUUAGCUAAGCGAUUAGCAACGUCUUUUAUUUUUCCUUCCCUCUCAUUUUGGGCCUUGACCUGGUAAAACCAGGUAAAACAAUGCUAAUAAGUUAUGAAACAAGCUCUCUGAUUGGUUAUAACCUGGCCUACUACAUGCAGAUGUAUGAGGGGAGGUGAAGAUGAUGGAAGGUGAGGAAGAAUAGAUCUUAUUCAGUGUUCAAGGUGGAAAGAGGUCCAAAUCUGGAUAUUCUGACUCUGUGGUAAUUUCACAUCUCCCUGAUUGAUGAACAGACACACAGACUAAAUACAGAGAUGAUCCGGAGAGAGAUGGGCUCAUAUCUGAAGUUCAAAACACAUUUAACAGUCCUUUAGCCCACAUCAGAACACAGAGAAGAUGCUUUAUUACACCUGAUGUUACAAGAUGAGGAUUCACAUCUAGUUUAAUGAUCAGAGCAGAACAAUAUUCAAAUCUCCUCCAGAUCCUCUAUUUCAUUCGUCCAUACAGACCAGGAUCAACCCUCCUGGCUGACAUGGGAAUGUCUUCUCUUCUUGAUUUUCUGCUCUCUUUGUUUGGUGAGCCAUCAAACAAACCCUCAGAGCUUCAGAGAAACACCUCCUUCAUACAUCCACCCUCAGUCAAGGCCUUUCCAUGUUUUGGAGUGCAGUGGGCAAUGGUAUGCUAAGCUUUGGUAGGGUGUGUGUGGUAGCUUGUUCUAAUACCUCCACACAGCAGCUUUGAUGGAUUCAGUCUGUCUGCCUUCUUGGAAGAUUCCUUAUGCUUGGUCUCAAAAUUUAGUUUAACAGCAGACACUCAGCAAACUUUCUGAAGACAUGAAGAGCAGACAGCACAGUCCUUCAGUGACACUAACACACUGGGACCCCUGACUCCCGCACAUAGUCUGCUCUGUAAAAAGAAAUGAUAGAUUGAACUGAAACUCAGCAUGAACAUCACUAAGGAAGUUAUAGAUGUUAAAAACAACUGUAACUUCCUUACAGUCUUCAUUUAGCUUCAUCAGCUGAGCUCCACUGCUUUACUGGCACAUCUACAUUUAGUGAGAGCAGCAGCAGACCUAUCUCAUGAUCGGGUAAGGUGAGGGGUUGUUUGAGGAAAUGCACUGACUUUGCUCCACUUUCUGUCCAUCCCAAACUGCAGGAAAUCCACCUGCUGUUCCAAGUGUGAUGCUUCUACUCCCUCUGCUCUAGCUGACACUGAAUGAUUCAAGAAGAGCCUCACACACUCACAUGAGUUCAUCUGAGAGCUUUCAUUUCAUCUUCAUUCAUAUUUAGAAGAGGAAAGCCCCAUACCUCAUCUCUCUAUGUACAGACAAGGUUUCAAGUCUGUUUAAAAAGAGCUUUUUAGACUGCAGUAUGGAGAGCUGCCCAAAAAGAAGAAAUGAAUGUCUUUUUCCAAAGAGUUCAAAUCAAGUCUCCAUGUUUUAGGAUAGACCAACAGCAAGCCUUUGCUGUUUGAAUUUUGUUGUUGUUCUUUUUCUGGGAGUUUCUGUUAGAAAGACUCAGGAAAAGUGACAGAGUGAUGGAGACUGUUGGCUCAGAUGAGUUUCAGCCUGUUUCUCUAACACGAAGACAAACUGAGGAACUCUGCUUCAUGUUGGACACUCAAUCAUUCUGACUGUGUUUCUUCCUCCAGGGUGGACCAUGGUGGAGAGCAGAGGUUAAAACCUGGUGUGAAGAAGUGUAAGUGUGGAGUCAGUUUGACUCCUGAUGACCAAACAACAGACUGUCAGCUAACAAAGAAGAAAGCCUUCAGGUGUGCCUGAUGAUAACCUGCUGUUGUGUUGUGUCUUUUUCUCUCUGUCAGAUUUCUGUGAACUCACAGUGGAUUCAAACACAGCACACAGACUCCUUAAACUGUCUGAAAACAACAGGAAGGUGACACGUGUGGAAGAGGAUCAGUCAUAUCCUGAUCAUCCAGACAGAUUUGACCUCUGGCCUCAGCUUCUGUGUAGAGAUGGUCUGACUGGCCGCUGUUACUGGGAGGUUGAGUUGAGAGAGGGGAUUAUAGCUCUGGAAGAGAGUAAAGCCAGGCCAGGCAAACACGGAAACACAGGAAGUCCAGCCAAAAUAAGACAAAAGGAGGCGGCGUCUCACCACAGUCACAUCAGUCUGAAUGUAUGUUGUCAAAGAGCAGGACUCCCUGUCAAACUGGCUCACUGAACUGGACUGAUCUCUGUCUCUAUGGGGAAAAAUCCAG